rnacentral:rRNA from 1 species
UACGUAGGGGGCAAGCGUUGUCCGGAUUUAUUGGGCGUAAAGCGCGUGUAGGCGGCCAUGUAGGUCUGACGUGAAAGCCCGCGGCUCAACCGCGGAUUGUCGUUGGAAACUGCCUCGCUAGAGUCCGGAAGAGGCGAGUGGAAUUCCCGGUGUAGCGGUGAAAUGCGCAGAUAUCGGGAGGAACACCUAUGGCGAAGGCAGCUCGCUGGGACGUUACUGACGCUGAGACGCGAAAGCGUGGGGAGCAAACAGG